rnacentral:lncRNA from 10 species
CUGUGGUUCAGUUUCCCAAAGAUCUGACUGAGCUGAAAAUGGACCAUGCUCACCAAGACCACUGCUGCUGUGCUGUAAGAAGCCCAAGCCCAACCACUGAGUGAUUAACCAGCAUGUGGAGAGAGGCCUUAGACGAUGAGAUGUCAUCACUGAUGUUUUGCUCUCAGCAUCUGAAUGCAGCUGCAUGAGUGACCUCAACUACUACAACACUUAGCAGAAGAAUGGCCCUGCUGAACCUGGUUGGCCCAUAAAUACAUGAAAACUUUUUAAAAAUGCUAUUGUUUUAAGCUAGUAAGUUUUGAGAUGGUUUGUUACACAGUAAUACAUAACUAAAACAAAGAUAGACAAAUAAAUGUAGGAGUUCAAUUCACUGGCUAUAAAAUAGAUAAGUGAGAGAUCAUAGGUGGCUGUCUACUCUUAUAUGGAGGAAUCAGAAAAGGCUUCCAUGGAGAGAUGAUAUUCUACUUGAACUUUGAGAGAUGAAAAUGUUUCUGGACAGAUGAGGGAGAGUCUCUUCGAUGGAAUGAAUAUUCCAGAGGAUGACUUGGAGGCCAGGAAUAAUAUGACAUUCUCAAGUGAACUGAUAACCUAAUAUUGACAACGGUUUUAAUUUGAUGGCUUAGAGAGAAACUGUGUAAAAUCAGUAGGAAUAAUAACAGGAAUACCAUACUUGUCUUUCUUUUGUAUCAUUUUAUCAGGAGAGAAGACCUUGUAAUUGACACAUUUCACCUAUUUACGUUCUACAGUGCCAACAUUUUCUCAAGGACUAAUGAGACAAAAGGAACUGCGUUUGUUGAAAGGCAGCGUCUGAUCCUCAUUUACUAUUCUAACUAAAUGAUUAAUUCAUUCCAGAAACAAAAACAAAGACACAGUCAUAUUAUAAACAUGAAUUCCUCAAGAAACCCGUCUAUGGACCACCUAGGAGGCACUUGGGGACCACCGGUCAGGAUUGGUUUGAGCAAGAUUAUGAAAUGGUUGGAGUUUAUCUUGGUGUUCCCAGGCUCUCAUUUUUGUGUCUUUCAAUCUGCUUCAUGUCUCAGUAGCACUAGGCUCUCCACUUUUCUGUGAAAAUCUGCUUCUCAGAAAAGAUCAGAUGCACGUGUUCUUACUUAGAAGUAUGAUCCCCAGAAGUGGGCUAUUGUUUCCAAGAAGGAUAUCCAUUUUACUUCUGAGAAGACAAGGUUUUAAGCUACAGGAAUGAUUCUGCGAUGGCGUUUUUUUUUUUUGUUUGUUUGUUUGUUUGUUUGUUUGUUUUUAAGUAAUUUAGUGUGAAAGAAUUUGCAGACAGGGAAGGGGAGAAAACAUGUUGCCUUCUCACUUCCCCUCUAAUCACGUCCUGAAUUAAGAGACUGCUUAUCUUUUAGAGUGAAUCCAUUGGACGAGUCAUUAAAGGAAGUUUGCCAUGUUUAAGCCACACAGCCAAGUGUUGUGGGGGAUACAAUAGUUAUAAUAAAACUAAUCCCCACCCUCAAACAUCUCGCUGUCUAGUAGAAGAGAGAAGAAACAACAACUGAUAACAAUAAACUAAGGCAGAAUAAAUCAUAGAUAAAACAUAUACAAAAUACUAUAUGAGAGCCCCUCAAAAGAAAAUGAUUAUUUCUAGAUGAUGAAAGUUGUGAAAGUGGACUAGUGGUCAGAGGUGGGUGGGAAUAGGGAAGGGCAGGAGGAAAUGUGUGGCCAGUACUUUCAACCCUACCUAUGAUGCAUUGGAAAAUGGAGGCCCAUAAAGGUAAGUAACUUCCCAAGGUAAACUAGUUAGUGACUGGCAUGGCAGGAACUUAAGGAGAGUGAAGGAGUAUGGAGGGAUUUAGUGGAAAGUGGUGUAUGGAUCAGAUUUUAAUUCUGUGCUAAGGAAUUUAAUUUAAUAUUCUGGGAAUAAGGGGAGCUUUUGAAGGUCUUUUUUUUGUUUGUUUGUGGGGUGGAGUGUGUUGCUGGGUGAAAUAUGACAUGAUAGAUACAUAAGAUAAUUUACUUGAUAUUGCGAAGGAUGAAUUAGAAAGAAAAGAGUUUGCACGCAGGGAGACAUAUUACAAUGACUCAUCCACCCAUUUAUCUACCUUUCAACAAAAAUUUAGUCAGAAUCUACUGUUUCCCAGGCAUUACAAAAUGUUGUGGCAACAAUCUGGUGAAAGAGUGUGAGAUAAGAAAGUGAGUGAGCUAGAAAGUUCGCAGUAGUGAUUUAAUGUAGGGCUGGGACCGUCCUUUUUAUGUUUGCCCUUUGGUGUUUUUCUCAAAUGUAGGCAUGGUCCUUUCACCACUGUCCAAGUUACCUCUCUGUAAGCCACUGGCUACCUGGCUUUGUAUCAUCUUAUCGGGGAAAAGUGACCUCAUGGCCACUGGCUUGCUGUAAGAAGAAGGGGUGUGGGUGAUGGGGAGACUCUGGCCACCAGUAUUGGAUGGAAGUGGAGCAUCUUCCCUGAAGCCCAGAGAGAGCAGAGCCUUCGACAUGCCCUCUCCAUCUCACUCACUUUUCCCUCCCUGAUAAUACCUUGUGAUUUUCUCUGAAUGUCUUGUUCCCAGGACUUGCUGUCUCUGCAGAUUGAUAGGGACCUACCAUUUGGACUGAGGAUCAAAGAAAUAGUACAGAAUGAAUGUCUAAAUACAAAAAUUAACCUCAAAACAUCUAAAUCACACAGGCAAAUGAUGCCAGCCUUUCUUAGCUUUGGGGAAUGCUCUCUCUUCAUUAGCGCUACCUGAAAAUGCAGUCAAAGAUGGCGUUGAUCAAAAGGGCUAUCUCAGCUGCAGGGGCUACAGGUCACUAAGGAGAGUGAUGGAGUUAGGAAACAACAUCCUGAGUGGAAGAAUCUCUAUGUGCUUGGGAUCAGAAACUCAUCGGAACUGUCUCUCCCAUGGCGAGAAGACAUGGGUCUUGGGUAUGUAUUUAGUGGUUUAUCUCACUAAUAACUGAAUCAUCAUUUUUUUGCUUUCCACUUGAUUUUGGAUAAAUGCUUCCUCUAUGGCCCACAACAGGUGUUCCAUUGAAACUGGAAGAUGAGAGACUGCCAUCUGUCCAGUCUGGGCUACUCACACCAUUGAACCAGCAAAUCUAGAAGGGGUUACUCUAGUAGCCAGUGUGAUUGAUGCUGAGAAAGUUGGAUUGUUACCCACAGUGGGGACAAAUAAUAUGUCUGGAACCUAGGAGGUUCUCUGGGGGUUCCUCUUAGUACUUUCGUAGCCAGUAUGAAAAGUUAAUGAAGAACUAGAGUAACUAUAAAAGGCUGGAUCACAGAGUAUUUAGACCCUUCGAGAAGGUUCAGAUACCCACCAUGGAAAUACUCCCAGCUGGCCGAGGCCCCAGUUAGGGGCAAAGGAAACUUGGAAAGAAUAAUGAAAGAAGGAAGUUACAAAUUCCAUUACGGCCUCAUGUCCACUUAGGGUCACAGGAAAUACGCAUGUUGUUUCUUUGCUUGUUUUGUUUGUAUUAUCUGUUAUCUUCUUCUCUCUUCUUUCUUUCACUGUUUUAUACAAGUUUUGUUGGAGGAUAACUUUACAAAUUAGUAUUUGGUUAAAAGUCAAUUCAGAAAGGACCUUGGCUGAAUUCGAGGAGUAAUUGACAUAGUGCCCAGAUGGAUACAAAGACUCUCUGGACUUGUGUCUUCUCAUUUAAGGAAGAGUAUGAGAAUGUCUUCAUUUUUAGUAAGAAUAGUUGCAUCUUGUUAGGCUGAAACACAAAGUUGCUUUUAUCACUGUACAGAAGUUAAAAUAAUAGAAGGAUAUGCAUGGAUGCUGAGUACCCAAAGGUGUGGAUGGUGCCCGCUUCUUGAUAUUAUCUCUUAGCUCCAGACCUACCCCUUUACACUCAACUGAAUGUUGCUGGGCUAGGACUGUGCAAACCAUAUUUCUGUUCAGCUAGAUGGCUCCUGGUUAUGCUCUGCUGAUAAGGGGACACUAGAUGGGGGCUUGAGGCUAGAGGAGAUAAAGAGAGACUGCUCCUUCCUGGAUGCUUCUAGUUCCUGUGAAAAUGACCCUGGUUAUGCUUCUUCAGUUCCUAAGUGAGAGUGCCUUCCUGGAGCAGCAUGAGAGUCCUGCCUGCAGCAUUUGCAACAAUUGCAGAGCUCUCCUCAUCUACCCCUCAGGGAUAAAAGCACCUGAUGAGCCAUGCCUUUUUCUCAGGGGUCUCUGUUUCUUCUGCAGGGCUCCUCUCCAAGAUUCUAGAAAUUUAAAUUCUAAUCUUUAUUUCUCCCAGCCCUUGGGAUGGUAGCUGUUUCCUGCAGCUGCUACCUCUCUGAUACUUCAGUGUUCUCUCUCUGGCUUUUCAGUUAUCUAGGUAGAUGAGGUGUAUCAAGGAGAUGAUAUGGAAAUAUAAGUAGAGAUUUUCUGUCUGAAAAAUGAACUAAAACUCAUCUAUGGACCUGUUGGUCCUGUCAAUCUCCAUUUGCUGCAAAGGUACUAGCUGCCUGAGAUUACCAAUAAGCCUCUCUCACUGAGACGGAUGAAGCCAAUGUUUUCAUUGUUUACCUACCUAAAACAUUUUAUACUAUACUCUUUCUGCUGUCUGUUGACUGGACUCUGACUCUGAAAUAGUGAUUAAUAAAAUGGAGCUUGGUACAGAGAGAUCAGUUUCAAACAGGACAUUGUCAAUCUCAAAUUCGAAUCCCACCACCCAGGAUGUACUAACUCUUGCACGCACAGAUGAGCGAUGAGGUGUUUUUGUGAGAAUCCUCUCAAGUAAACGGUGGGGGAUGAUACCUGCUCUGGCCUAUUUGUAGGGUUGUGGGAGAAACAGAAUACAAUAGUGCAGUAAGCAAGGUUUGGUCAGUCUUAAAGAGCUGCACAGACUUCAGGGACUGGGAUCACAAAAGCUAAAGACAUUCUUUAAUGAAGACAUUGGCCUCAUCUGUCUUGCUGAGAGAUGCUUAUUGGUAACCUCAGGUAGCUGGCGCCCUUGCAACUAAUGGAAAUUGAGAGGACCAACAGGUCCAUAGAUGAGUCUCAGUUCUUUUUUUAGAUAGAAAAUCUCUACUCAUAUUUCCAAAUGAACCUUACCUCCUCCCAAUUGCUACUUCCAAAUGUUACCCAUGUUCUAUUUUAGUCUUGCCAGGUUAUGAUAAAUAUGUCAACAUGAUUAUUGUUGCUAUUUUACUUUUAUAUUUUUGAUUAAAUCUGGUCUUCUUAUGUCCUAAAGCAUGCUGAAUUGGCUUACUCUAGGGGCCUGGAUUCUAAUUCCAUUUCUGCUUCUUGCUACCUGUAAACCAGUUAUUUUACCCUUUCUGGGCUCUCUUCCCUUAUCUGCAGAUUGGAAAAAAUCAGUCUUGUCCUGUCUGUCUCACAGGGCUUUUAUACCCAUACAGAAGUGUUUUGCAGAUUCAAAGGUGCUCUCAGGGAUGUUACUACUGUUGUUGGUAGUGUUUAUGGUCAUGGGAAUUUAAGAUAGUUUAAAAAAGAUCCCGUAAGCAAGUGUCUGGAAAUAGCGCCUUAUGGAUUAGCAUUAAAAUUUGCUAUUUCAAAUCCUUUCCACUGCCGUACAUUAAAUAUAUACUGGUAAAAUAUGUGGUAUUGAAUUUCAAAAAAGCAUUAAUUUCUGGAACAAGAUCAGACUCUUCAGCAUAUUUCCAGGCAGUUUUGAUCCCAUGAAUUUGUCCUAAUACUGCAACCACUUGCUUGUGUCUGAAAGAGUGAUUACAUGUAAGAAACAUUCAUGCCUCAAGGAAGAAAAGACUGACAAAUGAACGCUCAAAGAUUCCAGAACCAGGAACAACUGAUUCCAAGGUUUUAAAUAUCAGAGACUUAUAUACUAGAGGGGACAUGCAUGCCAGAGCUGCGGAACAGUAGUGUGGAAAAUACCACAGCCCAAAUUAUUUCUUUAAUGGUCUCCAAAAUAAAUGGUUGCCAACCAAACCAUACUUGCCAUACCUUUUUCCUUUGGCUGCUGUUUUGAGCUGCUUCUAGACACAAAAGGGAAAUGGAGAAUGAAGUCAAUUAUCUGCAGAACUCAUGCUAACAAGCAGUAAAGUCUCAUUACAUACUUAUUAAUUCAUAAAAAAUCAGUUAUGUCUGACUUAUUUGUGUUGCCUGUCUAUAUUGAUUAGAUUCAUUGUACAAUUGCUAAAGAGUUGAAAGAUGAAAGGAUAUGGUUCACUUAAGAAACAAUGCAGACAUUGUUUGUGUGUAUGUGUGCUUUGUGUGUGUGUGUGUGUGUGUGUGUGUGUGUUGUCUUUAUUUCCACUGUAGAACUAUUUAGAUUAAUAAGACAGUCGAAACAUCUCCUGCCAAAAUAACACAAAUGACAUGGUUAACAGAUAGUGAGCCUCAAAGUCACAUGCCGAGCUGUCUCUUCAUUGAAAAGGCAUAUAUGUUCAUGCAUAGAAGCAAAAGCAAAUUACCACUCCCUCCUGGUGAAUUAUUGGAUGACUCUCCAGUUGUGAGCCUGUGAAAAUCAUAAGGAACUAAUUUUAGCUUUUUAUUAGAUCUUUCCCAGAUAGAUUACAAAUAGUUUAUAGAUCUCCCUAAAUCUUUGCCAAAUUAUUUUCCACCUUAAAAAGAAUAUUGUCAUUUAAGGCUACUGUCUCAGAUAGUGUUUUCUGUCACUCAGAACUGCAGAGUUAGACUUCUCAAAAUCAUUAAAGUGCCUGUGAUUCACCACAAGACUCUUGUUUGUGUCUGCUGAUGUAAGACUGUUAAAAAACAUAUGGCUUUUUAGAUAUUUUACUUCUUAGCCAUACGUGGUUUUCUAGUGAGAUAGUUCUUUUUCCAUCAGCCUUGAUGUGGUCUGGAAAUGUGAUUUGUAGCAUAGCAUAUAACUUAUAACUGAGGACAUCUUUUGUACAUACUAUUGUGUCUCAGAGGGUUAAAUGAACUCUCCGAUGAAGGCAUGGUCUGUAGGCAUGGAGGCUGGGGUGGGGAGGAGAUCCAUUCUGACUUCCAGCCUCCCACUGGGUCAUUGUUAGAAUCAGGUUGGCCUGAGGUAGGGCCCUAGCAAGGUGGUAACUCAAUGCUAUGGCUCAUUUGAUCCCUAUUUUGGGUUGUAAUCCAUUUUAAGGGGGAAAGGCCAAUCUUUUAUACUAAUUAGGCAGCGACAGUUCCUAACUGAGAUGUUUCUUGUGAAACAGCUAAUGGAGUUGUAUAUCAGUGAACAGUAACAGGUUUAGUAGAUCCCAGUGCUGCUGAGGAUACUCUCUGUGUACAUCAUGCUGGAAAAAAUUUCAGAUGUAAUUUCCAGCAAGCACCUUCACCCCAUUUUAUCAAAUAGCAAUGCAAGUCCCAGAGAGAUUAACUGACAUUGAGCUCAUGGCAGAAUCAGGUAUUUUGACUCCAAGUUCAGGGUUCCGUUCACUAUAACCACCACUUACAGACUUCUCCAGCAAUAAUGAGGUGAGCAAAACAAGGUGGCUUUCUCUGCUCUUUGAGAUUUCUGAAAUCAGUGUUCUUCAUUCUCUGUAGAUGUAAAUGCAUCCUGCUAAACUUAAAGUGACAGCAAAUACUUUUCUGGAAGAGCUUUUUAUGGAAGAAGGAGGUUAUAUAUCCUCUGUUACUUCAUAAGUAAGUUCUAUCACUUCAUAACUAAUUUUCUUACAACUUAACAGCUUAAAAUAAAACACAUUUAUUAUCUCAUAGUUUCUGUGGGUUGAAAUCUGGGAAUAUCCUAUCUGGGUUCUCUGUCUCCCGGCAUCUCACAAUCAAGGCAUUGGCCAGGACUGUGUUCUCAUCUAACGGCUCGACUGGGAAACUCUGCUUUUAAGCUCACUCACAUGGUUACUGGCAGAAUUCAGGACGCUGUGGGCUGCUGGCCUGAGAGCCUUCAUUCCUCACUGGCUGUUGAUUGGAGGCCCCCUCAGCUCCUUGUCACAUGGGGCUGUUUAACAUGACAUCUUGCUUUAUCAAAGCCAGCGAACAGAUGGCAAGGGAGAGAGAAUGCUAGCAAGGCACAAAGAACACUCCUUUCUUAUCUAAUCUCAGAAGUGACAUCUCAUCACUUUUGCCAUAUUUCAUAUUCACAUUCAUUAGAAGCAAGUCCCUAGGUUCAGCCCAUAUUCAAGGAGAGGCAACCACAUGAGGCUGUGAAUACCAGGAAGCAGGGACUCUGGGGAGCCAUGUGAGAAGGUCUGCCACAGAAACAUUGUCCUAGUUGUCACAUAUUUAACAUAUAUGAAACUUCAUUUAUUUUGGUUUGCUAGAGUUCAUCACAAUGCAUCAUUUACUUUAGGUAUUGUCAUCACAUGUUUAGCUGUAGUUCACGCAAUCGCCACUAAAACGGCAAGGGAGAGAUGAGGAUAAAGUGUGGAAAACCCUCUUCCACCUCCUCCAUCCUCUUCCAUUCCUAUCCCCCCACCCUGAGGCACACAGAGGGAAACUAUGCUCACAGGAAGUGCUGCAGGAUCCUCAGCAUUCUUUUACAUCAAAAGCCUGGAGAGAAAACAAUGAAGUGGUCACAUUAGGACUUUGGUAUUGGAAGAAGUUGGGUUUGAAUGCUGUUUCCACCCCACGGCAGCCGUGGGAUCUUGAACAACAUUACUCAAACUAUUUCAUCAUAUGUGAAAUGGGGUAUUAAUUCUUGCAUAACAGGUCAUUGGGAGCAUUAAGCAAGAUAGUGUAUGUAAAGGAGAAUAGCCAAUCCCUGCCAUGGAGGAAGGGUCACAGCAGAUGGGCAUUUCUGUCUUUCUUCCUUUCAAAUAAUGGAAUAUUCCAUAGAAAGGGUCAGGACAAAAUUUUGUCUUCAUGGUAGGCCUCUUUGAGUUUGAGAUUUGUGAUACAACUUAGUAUUUGGGGGUCAUUUACUCUACUUGCUCUUUAUAUUUCUAUAAAUUAGGGUUAAAAGUAGUACCUAUCUCAUUAGACUUUUUUUUGAAGUUUAAGAAAGAUAAUGCAUGUUAACUGCUUAGCACAAUGGUUGCCCCAUAGUACACAGUCAAUAAAUGCUUGCUGUUAUAGUUGUGAAGUUUAUAGUUCUCUUGGUAUAGUACCUUGAAAAAUUUAUGUCAACUCUCUGUGCCUUUAUUUCCUCAUCUAGAUAAUGGAGAAAAUUACAGUAGCUAAUUCUCAGGGUGGUCAUUAAGGUGAAUGAGUUAAAUAUAUAAAGUACUUAAAAUAGUCUUAGCACGUGCAUGGUAAGUGCACAAAGAAUGUAAGCAAAUAUUAACAUUAUUUGUAUUAGUGCUUGAUCAGUGUUUGUUUCUGUUUUAGAUGACUCUUACUUAGUAUAAAAAUUUAAUAGAAGUUUAUAUUGUGUUAUUCAUAUAACAUAUAUUAUGCUAUUAUUUUAUAUAUCUAUGUCUCAUGUGAUUAUAUUAUUGAGAGGUUCAAGAUAAGGAUGUUUCAGAGACUCCUAGAGUUCUAGUGCAGAAUUUGCUAACAUUUAGUUAUCAGGUAAAAAUGCUCUCCUAUGGAUUGUAGAACACAUAUAACAUAAACAUCUAAAGUGGAUGUUUACUUGGGUUUUAAAUCACGUGCAUUUAUGUUGCUUUCUUCUGCAGAUGAUCACAGUGAUUACCCUAUGAUGCAGGAUGAGGUGAGGGAUGCCACCGUCUAGCUGAGCUUCCACAUAUUAGAGGAGAGGGGGUUUGACUGAAGUGCUUCUCUUCUCAAAGCUUUUUCUUUCUUUUUCUUUUUUUUUUUUUAAGCAUUGGCUGACAUUUUGAAUUGUGUCUCAGUGAAAACUGAGGACAAUACCUAUUAGGAGUGAUGCAAAUAAAUAUAUUUUCUUAUUUUUAUAUUUAAAAAACCCUGAAAAGUAAAAUUAGCAAAGAAAGAAACUCCUAAGACCGCCUACCUACAUUCUCCUAUCUCUGCUACAAGGACCAAGAGCUUGAUUUAGCCUCUACACACACAUGCACAUGCACACACACGAAGAACCAAGUGUGAGAAUCAAAUAUUAAACAGAACAACUUUUUUUUUUGUCACUGUCCACUCAUACAUCACAUGUGUGAAGAGCCUGAGGUCCCCAAAGACUGUGUGUGAGAUGGACAUUACAGUAUCACAUUCAAAUGGCCUUUUUCAUAGGCGAAUCUUUUUGGUUCCAGAUACUCAUUCUCUCUGCUUGGUUCACAUUCCAGUCACCAUCAUGAAUGGAUACACGUGUUCUUUGUUGUCAGUUUGACUUGCCUUCUCCUUGAAUAGUUCCUGCAGAAAUUUAGCCCCACUUUAAACAUAUCAAAUGCACCCAUUAUCUUCACAGUCGAGGGCUGUUUUUCUUUCCUGGGAAGAAGUUCUCUUGUAACAAGGGACUCUCGGCAUCAAUGAUGAAUGUUAGCGGUUUCAGACAUUGAACAAAGGGUAUGCAAAGCAAUAUUUGGUGAGAGAGAGAGGUUGAGAACAAGAGAGUGUUCCAGAGAGAGAAAGAAAGAGACAGAGGAGAGAGAAAAAUCCCUUUAUAAAGUCAUUGAAAUACAACUUCAGAUACUCUUGUGUUUCUGGGAAGCCUCUAUAUAUAAAAAGUAGCAUCCUUCCAUUAAGUUCUAAAUUAAGUUAAUAAAAACAAUUUGAAGCAGAGGGGCCAAGUCUGCUUUCUGGAGGCCACAGUGAGUUGGGCAGUGGUGAUCGUUUCCAUGAGAAAAUUAGUUGAUUGUGGGAACCUAAUGAUUUCUCUGGAUUUAUUUCUGCCUCAGUCAUAUGGUAAAUGAAAGCAUCAUGUUACUCUUCCUCUGUUGCUUUCUCUCGCUUUAAUUUUUCUUAAAAUAAAUUUCCUUUACCAUCUCGAAGUAAAACAAAAAUCUCCCAGUCUCCCUGCUGCUGGGGUCCAAAAAGCCAGUGAUGAGAUUUGUCACGGGCUGCUCAGUGCUCUUGAAUUAGAGCAAAGAUGGACCCGCUCAGGUGACUGUAAUAUAGAUAAGAGGAGGUUGCCUAGCUCAGAAAAGAAUCUGUUUUUCUUUGACUGCACCUCAGCAAAGGUCAAAUAGGAUUAAAUUUUUUAAGUUGACCAGAACAAAGAUAGAUGAGUUGAUUUUCAGUGCAAAUUUGGUUAUGUCAAACCAAGUAGCACCAGAAAUAUGAUCGAUUAACCUCUGGAGAGUCGAUGGCAUAUUUCAUUUCACUCCCUCUGGAGUCACCAUGAACACUGUGCUGUCUUUCAGGAUGAUGGAUUUACAGGGAUUUCCAAAUGUCUGUUAAUGCCCUUCACCCACUUUGCUGAGAUCAGUCAUCUGAACAAAUGGUUUGAAGAUUUUGUGUGAAGAUGCUAUAAAAAGAGUCAUUGGUUUCCCUUGUUCAUAGUAGUUAUUAUGUAUAUGGGUAGAGAGGAGGCUACAAUUUGAGAAUUAAUGUCAUUGAAAAUGAGGGCAAUAUUUGAGAGCCUUGAAUUCUCUGAAGAGUUCAAAUAAAGAUGUCUAUUUUGAAGAGUAUCUUUAUUUUCUUGUUGAAUAAAGAUCUUAAACUUUUUGUUUUUUCAAAGUACAUAUUUCUGUGGCUUUUCAUAUUUCCACAUGCUAUGCAAGUUAUUAAAACCCCAAAUUUUCUGUAUCUGAUUGCAACGGGGCUGCUAAAAAGGAAUGGAUAACAAUAAAAGCAAAAUGGAGAGUGCUUAGAGAGCAUAACAGAGUCAUCAUGGAAAACAGUGGUAAUUUUUAACCUUGCUUUUCCAAGCUAGAGUUUUUGAGAGGACAGCGAGUGCAUAGGCUGCUAUCAUCUUCUCUAAAACAGAAAUGUGAGUAGACAUUUGGCUGAAAACCACAUUUUUCAUUGUUAAUGGAAAUAACAUUUAAAAUGUAUAAGACGUAUAUGUAUAUAUUUAAUAAUCAUCUAUUGAGAGAUUUCUAUAUAUUAGAGACUGUAAUAGUUGAAGUGAUAAUUUUGGACAGUCAACCCUGAUCACAAUAUAUGGAUGUGUGUGUGCAAAGGAUCACACAAACUGUAGUACAAUGUGAUAACAUAUAAAUGCUAGACAAUUAUUAUAAACCAUGCACUACAGGGAAAAUGAAAAGAGAUGAAUUAAUUAUAUUAUGGAGGAAGAAGAGGAAGAAGGGAGGAAAAUGAAGAAGGCCUUACAAAGGAGGUGAGCACAUGAACUUUGAAUCAUGAGUAAGAUUUAAGAUUUUUUUUUUUUUUUUGAGAUGGAGUCUCACUCUGUUACCCAG